rnacentral:misc_RNA from 1 species
AACCAUAGAAACCUGCGGAGUACCUGCGGAAGGAUCAUUACAGGACUCGCAAGACUCCUUAAACCCCUGUGAACUUACUGUUUAUACGUUGCUUCGGCGGGUGCUCCGGGGUCCGCCCCGGGGCGCUGCGCCCGCCGGCAGCCUACUUAAUUCUGUUUCUCUGCGUUGGCAUCUCGAGUAAGCAAAAUAAGUUAAAACUUUCAACAAUGGAUCU